GCCCUCAACUAGAACAUCUCUGAACCCCUCACCAGGAGGAACUACGUUCUCUGGUGAGCUCAGGCCCGAUCCUAGAUCAUGGGUGCCGGCUUGUACGGCUACAUCGACAAAACUAUAGAUGAACCUCCCAAGACCAUCGUCAUGAAGGACAAGGAUGGCAAGGAUCGGGUGAUGCAAAACCCUGCCUAUGCCCCUUGGCUGGUCCAGGACCAGCAAAUCGUCGCCUACCUCCUCCGGAAUCUCUCCAAGGAGGUCCUCGUUCAGGUGGCCUCACUAGAGACGUCGCAUGCGAUAUGGAUGGCGCUGUCCACCAUGUUCGCU
rnacentral:rRNA from 1 species